UACGUAGGGUGCGAGCGUUGUCCGGAAUUAUUGGGCGUAAAGAGCUUGUAGGCGGUCUGUCGCGUCUGCUGUGAAAAUCCGGGGCUCAACCCCGGACUUGCAGUGGGUACGGGCAGACUAGAGUGUGGUAGGGGAGACUGGAAUUCCUGGUGUAGCGGUGAAAUGCGCAGACAUCAGGAGGAACACCGAUGGCGAAGGCAGGUCUCUGGGCCACUACUGACGCUGAGAAGCGAAAGCAUGGGGAGCGAACAGG
rnacentral:rRNA from 1 species